AUGGGCCGCCAUGCGACCGGGAGAGCCACGCCAGGAGGUUUGGCUUCCGCCUCGCCUUGCGCGUGGACCGGGCUGCGCACUGAUCACAAGGCCUCGGCCGUGCGCCCGUCGCCUUCGCUGACGCGACGCGGUCGCUGCCGCCACGCUCCGGUGGCGACCAUGCCCGCCGUGCAGCCGUGCUGCGCUGUUGUUGUGGCGUGUGAGGGCGCUCCCGUCCGUUCAGCGAGGCCACCGCUUGGAGCCGCCUCCCCGAGAAGUCCCCGAAGACGGCCGUGGCUCUGUGCCUCGCCUGAAGGGUGUGUCCUUGAUCGGUGA
rnacentral:rRNA from 1 species